UAGCUAGUUGGUGAGGUAAAGGCUUACCAAGGCGACGAUCUGUAGCGGGUCUGAGAGGAUGAUCCGCCACACUGGAACUGAGACACGGUCCAGACUCCUACGGGAGGCAGCAGUGGGGAAUUUUGGACAAUGGGGGCAACCCUGAUCCAGCCAUGCCGCGUGAGUGAAGAAGGCCUUCGGGUUGUAAAGCUCUUUCGGCCGGGAAGAAAUCGCAUGGGCCAAUACCCUGUGUGGAUGACGGUACCGGAAUAAGUAGCACCGGCUAACUACGUGCCAGCAGCCGCGGUAAUACGUAGGGUGCGAGCGUUAAUCGGAAUUACUGGGCGUAAAGCGUGCGCAGGCGGUUUUGUAAGACAGGCGUGAAAUCCCCGGGCUUAACCUGGGAUCUGCGUUUGUGACUGCAAGGCUAGAGUACGGCAGAGGGGGGUGGAAUUCCACGUGUAGCAGUGAAAUGCGUAGAGAUGUGGAGGAACACCAAUGGCGAAGGCAGCCCCCUGGGUCGAUACUGACGCUCAUGCACGAAAGCGUGGGUAGCAAACAGGAUUAGAUACCCUGGUAGUCCACGCCCUAAACUAUGUCAACUAGGUGUUGGGUGGGUAAAACCAUUUAGUACCGUAGCUAACGCGUGAAGUUGACCGCCUGGGGAGUACGGCCGCAAGGUUAAAACUCAAAGGAAUUGACGGGGACCCGCACAAGCGGUGGAUGAUGUGGAUUAAUUCGAUGCAACGCGAAAAACCUUACCUACCCUUGACAUGCCAGGAACUUGCCAGAGAUGGCUUGGUGCCCGAAAGGGAGCCUGGACACAGGUGCUGCAUGGCUGUCGUCAGCUCGUGUCGUGAGAUGUUGGGUUAAGUCCCGCAACGAGCGCAACCCUUGUCGUUAAUUGCCAUCAUUUAGUUGGGCACUUUAACGAGACUGCCGGUGACAAACCGGAGGAAGGUGGGGAUGACGUCAAGUCCUCAUGGCCCUUAUGGGUAGGGCUUCACACGUCAUACAAUGGUCGGUACAAAGGGUUGCCAAGCCGCGAGGCGGAGCCAAUCCCAGAAAGCCGAUCGUAGUCCGGAUUGCAGGCUGCAACUCGCCUGCAUGAAGUCGGAAUCGCUAGUAAUCGUGGAUCAGCAUGUCACGGUGAAUACGUUCCCGGGUCUUGUACACACCGCCCGUCACACCAUGGGAGCGGGUUCCGCCAGAAGUAGGUAGCCUAACCGCAAGGGGGGCGCUUACCACGGCGGGGUUCGUGACUGGGGUGAAGUCGUAACAAGGUAGCCGUAGGGGAACCUGCGGCUG
rnacentral:rRNA from 1 species